rnacentral:rRNA from 1 species
UGAAUACGAGAUGCUACGGCGUCGAAGCAGUCUAUGUCAUACUUCCAAGAAAAGCUCGCACUGUCAUAAACAAAUAAUGCCUGUACCAUAACCGACACAGGUGGGUAGGUAGAGUAUACUAAGGGGCGCGAGAUAACUCUCUCUAAGGAACUCGGCAAAAUGACUCCGUAACUUCGGGAGAAGGAGUGCCUUAUUUAUAAGGUUGCAAUAACAAGAUCCAAGCAACUGUUUAUCAAAAACACAGGUCUCCGCUAAGUCGUAAGACGAUGUAUGGGGGCUGACGCCUGCCCAGUGCCAGAAGGUUAAAGAAGUUGGUUAGCAUUCGCGAAGCUGAUAACUGAAGCCCUGGUGAACGGCGGCCGUAACAAUAACGGUCCUAAGGUAGCGAAAUUCCUUGUCGGGUAAGUUCCGACCCGCACGAAAGGCGUAAUGAUUUGGAUACUGUCUCGGAGAGGGGCUCGGUGAAAUAGACUUGUCUGUGAAGAUGCGGACUACCUGCACCAGGACAGAAAGACCCUAUGAAGCUUUACUGUAACUUGAGAUUGAAAUUGGACUUUACUUGCGCAGUAUAGGUGGGAGGCGUUGAUAAUAUUCUUGCGGGAUUAUUUGAGCCAUCAGUGAGAUACCACUCUUGUAAUGUUAGAUUUCUAACUUUGUAUCAUUAUCUGGUCAAAGGACAGUUUCAGGCGGGCAGUUUGACUGGGGCGGUCGCCUCCUAAACGGUAACGGAGACGCACAAAGGUUUCCUCUGAACGGGUAGAAAUCGUAUCUAGAGUGUAAAGGCAUAAGGAAGCUUGACUGUGAGACCUACAAGUCGAGCAGGGACGAAAGUCGGUCUUAGUGAUCUGACGGUGCUGAGUGGAAAGGCCGUCACUCAACGGAUAAAAGUUACUCUAGGAUAACAGGCUGAUCUCCCCCAAGAGUUCACAUCGACGGGGAGGUUUGGCACCUCGAUGUCGGCUCAUCGCAUCCUGGGGCGGUAGUACGUCCCAAGGGUUGGGCUGUUCGCCCAUGAAAGCGGACGCGAGCUGGGUUCAGAACGUCGUGAGACAGUUCGGUCCAUAUCCGGUGUAGGCGUUAGAAUAUUGAGAGGAGCCUUCUUUAGUACGAGAGGACCGAGAAGGACAUACCUCUGGUGUACCAGUUAUCGUGCCAACGGUAAACGCUGGGUAGCUAUGUAUGGAGUGGAUAACCGCUGAAAGCAUCUAAGUGGGAAGCCCACCUCAAGAUAAGUAUUCUCAC